GGCAAACUAGAGGGGCAGCAACUGAAAUAUCCAAGGCAGAUAGCACGAUUACAUCUUCAGAGAAGGUUGGUAUUGCCCAGCAAUGGUAUGAUGAAAUCGACCACCUAGCCUUUUCAACAUCAGAAAUUGAAGCAACCAUAGAAGAGGCUACGAUGAGCUGUGGUGAGGAAAUUCCAGAAGGGAAAGUUGAGAUAAGUUGCUCCGUUAACUCAAG
rnacentral:misc_RNA from 1 species